rnacentral:lncRNA from 1 species
GGAAGGAGCUGGGCAUCCGGCCUGAGGCGCAGCGGUCGCGUUAGUUCGGCCCAAUGGCGGCACCGCUGCUUCACACGUUGUUUGUCGGGAGAUGCGGCCGCUUCGUCCUCUGCAGUCAAGACGCUGGGCGCGUCGAGGACUGGCUUCUACUUGAAUGAAGACAAAAAUCUAGGCCGGGCGCGGUUGCUCACGCCUGUAAUCCCAGCACUUUGGGAGGCCGAGGUGGGCGGAUCACCUGAAGUCAGGAGUUCGAGACCAGCCUGGCCAACAUGCGAAACCUCGUCUCUACUGAAAAUAUAAAAAUUAGCCAGGCGUGGUGGCAGGAUUUCAAAUAUGCGUGCAUUAGAGAAUGAUUUUUUCAAUUCUCCCCCAAGAAAAACUGUUCGGUUUGGUGGAACUGUGACAGAAGUCUUGCUGAAGUACAAAAAGGGUGAAACAAAUGACUUUGAGUUGUUGAAGAACCAGCUGUUAGAUCCAGACAUAAAGGAUGACCAGAUCAUCAACUGGCUGCUAGAAUUCCGUUCUUCUGUCAUGUACUUGACAAAAGACUUUGAGCAACUUAUCAGUAUUAUAUUGAGAUUGCCUUGGUUGAAUAGAAGUCAAACAGUAGUGGAAGAGUAUUUGGCUUUUCUUGGUAAUCUUGUAUCAGCAUAGACUGUUUUCCUCAGACCGUGUCUCAGCAUGAUUGCUUCCCAUUUUGUGCCUCCCUGAGUGAUCAUUAAGGAAGGCGAUGUAGAUGUUUCAGAUUCUGAUGAUGAAGAUGAUAAUCUUCCUGCAAAUUUUGACACAUAUCACAGAGCCUUGCAAAUAAUAGCAAGAUAUGUACCAUCAUGAGUAUACUUUUCCUUAUUUUGAAUGUUUAAUUCUCAAGAAAAUUGUAAUCAAUUAGUAAAAAUUAUAAAAUGUUAAUAGUAUUAAAGCUUGAGUCUUACAUUGCAUUUUUUUUUUUGUAUCCACUUGAGGAAACAUUACAUUCUACAAAAAGUGGCAUUUCCAUUUUCUAUUUAUUCUCUUUAAUUGUUUUUCAAAGUUCGUAUGCAGAUUCUCCCCCAAUUUUGUAUGGUGGUUGGAAUUUUGUUUUUAUCUUCAACAGAUAUGCUAUCCAAAAUUUUUCAGUGAGAAACCCCUGGGUGUGUUUGUGUCAUGCCAUAUGAAUAAAAAUUGCACUUCUAAGAAAA